AUGCAGGAGCACCUCAACAUCUACGAUAUGGAAGAUGUAGCCAACGAAGACGCACUGGCUCCUGCGUACGAAGCUAUCGUCCUCACAGCCCAGGCCGAGGAGACCCUGUACGCAGCGCAGCAGCAGCUCGACCAGGCGGUGCUAGCCACGUCUCUGUCCACGGUGCAGGCAGAGGUGGUCAGGCGUCGGGCUAUUGAAGAAGAGGCCGCAGCUCGAGAGCAGAGGAGGGCGGCGACUCUGCGUGCAGCGGUCGCCAUCGAGGCAGAAGGCGAGGGACCGGACAUCAUCGUCCUAUCCUCCUCCGACGAUGAAGACCGCAACAAUGACGAUGACGGCACCAUCGUUCUUCCAAAUGAUGAAGACAAGUAG
rnacentral:rRNA from 1 species